GAUGAACGCUGGCGGCGUGCUUAAUACAUGCAAGUCGAGCGAGGACCACUCGGUGGCAACACCGGGUGGCUCCUAGCGGCGAACGGGUGAGUAACACGUGGGCAACCUGCCCCCGACACUGGGAUAAGCCCGGGAAACUGGGUCUAAUACCGGAUACGAGCCUCCUCCGCAUGGUGGAGGCUGGAAAGGGUCUCCGGUCGGGGAUGGGCCCGCGGCCUAUCAGCUUGUUGGUGGGGUAACGGCCCACCAAGGCGACGACGGGUGGCCGGCCUGAGAGGGUGAACGGCCACACUGGGACUGAGACACGGCCCAGACUCCUACGGGAGGCAGCAGUAGGGAAUCUUGCGCAAUGGGCGAAAGCCUGACGCAGCGACGCCGCGUGCGGGACGAAGGCCCUCGGGUUGUAAACCGCUUUCAGCAGGGACGAAGCGAAAGUGACGGUACCAGCAGAAGAAGGUCCGGCCAACUACGUGCCAGCCGCCGCAGUAAGAC
rnacentral:rRNA from 1 species